rnacentral:rRNA from 1 species
AUACGGAGGAUCCGAGCGUUAUCCGGAUUUAUUGGGUUUAAAGGGUGCGCAGGCGGGAGAUUAAGUCGGCGGGGGAAUUUUGCAGCUCAACUGUAAAAGGGGCUUCGAAACUGGUUUCCUUGAGUGUAGAUGAAGUAGGAGGAAUUUGUGGUGUAGCGGUGAAAUGCAUAGAUAUCACGAGGAACUCCGAUUGCGCAGGCAGCUUACUAAACUACUACUGACGCUCAGGCACGAAGGCGUGGGGAUCAAACAGGAUUAGAUACCCUGGUAGUCCACGCAGUAAACGAUGAUUACUAGCUGUUUGCGAUACAAUGUAAGCGGCUGAGCGAAAGCGUUAAGUAAUCCACCUGGGGAGUACGUUCGCAAGAAUGAAACUCAAAGGAAUUGACGGGG